rnacentral:misc_RNA from 1 species
UUGAGCGUGUUGCUAAUGUCAUUUCUUUUUUCGAAAACAAAAACACCUACAAUUGUAGUUCUGCCAAACCGUAAUGUGCGCAGCUCUCAGUCCGGCCCAUUGUCAGCUUAGGGUUAAGAUCUUGUCUGAAGCGGCGAAGCAUGUCCCCAAAACCGGAUUCACGAACGCUGCCCUCGCUGCCUCGCUCAAAUCCAUCGGUGCGGAAGAUAUUACCGACCGAACAUUGUCUCAGAUUUUCAACCGAGGCUUUCCGAUUGCCCUCGUCGAACACAUUGUGAAGUCUACAAACUUGCAUGUGCAACGGGAGUUAGAGUCUGCUUUCAACAAGGACGCCAUCAUCAAGAGCAUCGACUCAAAUGUGGAUGCCUUUGUUCAAAACAGACUGCUACUCCCCACUGAGAAGAACGUUGCAGAGAAAGCUCUUUUGUCGAAGCUCGAGUUGCUGACACCUUUAGCGGAACACUGGCCAAGCGCAGUGGCUCUUGAAUACCUUCCGGCCAACUUACCGUACGCCGUGAUCAAUCUGGCUGAGUUUGUCGAUACAACAGUCUACUAUAUGGAGCGCGCUGCCACACUUGGAGAGUUGCUUGAGCCGGCACGCCGAAUUCUCCGAUCAAAGGCGAUGGCGUCCCGCAUUCAAUCUGGAGAAUUAGAUAGCAACGGCGCGUUGCCUACUUCGGCGUUUUUGAAGAGCUUUCUUAAGGGUAUUUCGCUUUCAUCAGGUCCGUAUGCUGGCCCUUUGGCAUUGAAUAUGGGGUGGUACUGCAAAAGAGCGCAGGUGGCGCUUGUGUAUGGGGCGGUCACUACUUCUUUGUUAGGCGACGUUUCACAGAACGCGGCCGACACUCGGUCCUUGACAAAAGCUGUGGUUGAAACGUUCUUUUAACAUGCAAAAAUAAAAAAGACCGCAGGGCCCCUGUUGCUUUGCCUUUUUUUUGCGCAUGAAAC